GUUCACAUGAUGGAUUUAAUUGUUCAACUGCUGAAGGAUAUAAACAUGAACUAAAACUACAUUCUGACUGAG
rnacentral:snoRNA from 1 species